GAAUUUAUUCCCUCCUUAGCAAUAUAGAGCAAUAUAAUCCAGAAAGAAGUUUUCAUUGGGUAUUCUACUUCUUAUGCAACCUACUUUUGAAGAGCUCUUGCCCCAUCUUGGUUAUUUGCACAUGUUCUGUGCAUGUACAAGCAACACUUCUGCAAGGAGCAAGGUGGCUGUGCAUAUGUGAGUUUUGCAAGAGACACAGCUGCAAUGAGUAUAAAUCCUUCCAUUCCCCACCAUCCGGUCAGAGCUGAAAAAGCUUCUUAGAUGAGAAGCGAAACAUCUUCAGAGAAAAACCAGAAAGUCCAGUUCCGUCUUGAAAAAGCACCUUUGGGACAACCAUGACCUGGAUGAUUGAGAAUCUCCAUAGACAUUAAGAGACACAGCUGUUUUGAUGCUUUAGAGUUUAGUGCAGAAAGGAGAGAUCAAGGGCAUCAAUGAGAAAAAAAAAGAGUCAAGGCCUUAGAGUCACAUUGAAGACAUCUUUUUCCAAGGAUCUUCCAAAACCAGCCUUGCAUAUAAUGACAGAUGAAUGGACACAAUAGUUGAAAUGGGUGGUAUAUCAGACAGCUUAUUAAAGAGACAAGCUUGCUGCUUUCUCAAAGUCGGAUGACAGAACAAGUCAGGGAAAGAGGACAGAAAGAACUUAAAAUCUAAUGGCUAGUAUUGCCUGCUAUCAGUGGACUAAAGAUUUGAAAAAGCAAGUUGAGCCAGGAUCUGUGUCUGCAUUGGAACUGUCUCAUCCCAAUUAGAUCAACCUGUCCCACCAGAUCUAGUGUGGAAGGAAAAUGAGAUCCCUAGUGAAGUCUACAUUGUGAUUGACUCUAAAGAUUCUGAGACCAAUUGUUGCUUAAUGGCCCUUAUUGGCCUAUGCAAUAAAAAGUGAUAUGAUCUUUAAAAAAACCCAGGUUCUUAAAAAUGGUGUCUUUUGGACCCAAACUAUGAUGACUUAGUGAAAUGUCACAUAAAAAGGUACAUGAAGAUUUAAUUAGAAGAUAUUGUUUUAUGGAGGAUUUGAUCAUUGGCCACUUAAAAUUUCUUUGGCCCUUCAAGCAAGAUAUACGUUGACAUGAAAUAUUUUCAUUUAAAGGUCUACAGUAAAAGUGAUGUGUUGUUCUGUCACUUCCUGUCAGCAUGUUGAGUAUUUGUAAGCAUCCCGUACUUUGCAUGUGGGUUUUAUAGGUACAGUUCUUCAUAUUGUAUUUUGGUCUGCAUUAUUAUGAAUCAUAAUGUUUCUGUUGUAUAACUAUUUUUUAGUCAAAGUGAAAAUUGAUUUGUUUAAUUUGGCUGAUAUUUCACAUCUUUAGUUCCAUGCCACUAGCUAUCAUAUUUUUUAUCAGUGGAAAUCCUUAUUUUCAAAAGCGGAUAUUCACAAUGGAACGAAACCUCAUUUUUGCACUUCUGGGGUAUGUGUAGGUGCAGGGUAAGUGUGCUUAAUUAAUUAGAAAAUUAUAUUCUUAAAUAGGAAACAUAUCUAAUAAGAUUCAAUGGAAUUUAUUUUUAGUACUUGACAGAUCAGCCAAGAAAGCUUUGGAAAAUAUAUUUAAAUACCAUGAUGUUUCUGUACCUGCAAAAAUCAGAACUGAUCAAGUGAUGGUGUUUCUGUGGCACACUGUAAAAGUGAAAGUUAUCUUUGAAGAAGCAGGAUAGGAAGAAUAUUGAGGCAUCAAACUUUGUUAAUGGAGAAGAUUCAUGGAAACACCAUGGAUAGCUAAAAAAUGUUACAAGUUAAUCAUCAAAUAAAUCAACCCAAGGUUUUUCACAAAACGCAAAUGACCAGAUUCAAAGUAUCCCACUUUGCAUACAUUACACAACCUAGCUUCCUACAGAAGGCUCUACUUCUGGGAAAUAUGGAAGGAAGAGGAAGAAGGGGGCAAUUGUAGCAGGUUGCUGAAUCAGUUACACAGCGACGGGUGUGCUGUUGGAAGUCCUGAAAGACCAGGUUAGGAACUGAUAGUCAUGGAUGAUCCAUAAUCUUUUUCCUUACUUCAAACUUGUACAUUUGAAUAGCUGUACUCAAGAGGAAUAUAUGAUCAAUGCCAGUAGUGUGAAAUUGACCUAAGAAUAAAAUGAUACUUGUAUCUAGGUACUUUAAAAAUGUUUGCUACAUAGAAUAUUUUAUAUAUCUUGAAUCCAAGUUGUGCAUAACGCUCUUUUAUUUGGCAACACAUCCCACAUAAAAGUGCAUGCGCAACCAAAUUUAUUUUGAUAUUCAAGAAGAAGUCAAGGUUAAUAUAAAAAGUUAGAAACUCUGCUUCCCAAACAUAACUGGGGUCUCUUCAGAUGUUAGUUGAAUGGGUUAAGGUUUGUCAAUCUUUGAAGAUAGACCUUGCAUUUCUUUGAUUACCAAUAUUCAUCAACGAAGUUUAAAAAUGAUCUACCUGAUUAGUGAAAAGAACUGUAUUCACAAUUUCCAUCCAUACAAGCAAAUACAACUGUUCUUCAGUCUAUUAGUUCAACGCAUAGAUGUUUGGCCAGCCUUAUCCUGUUCCCAUUUUUAAGCGCUCAUACAUUCAGGCAAACACCUGAAAAAAAGUUUGACUCUCUCUGCUUAAACUUGGAGAGUUUAAGUGGCGACUGUAUCACAGAAAAUCUGAUGGGUCUUAGUUAACUAAACUGUAAUGGUUGAACGGUCAAAGUUACAUAAUGUGAAAUUUCCUUAAAAUAAGUGUACCAGCUCCAAAUUGUUAGCAAAGCAUUUGUGAGGGUUAACAUGUCCUCUGGAGUCAAUUCACUGACAAAUAUGAUUACUCUUCCAUUCACAGGAGUUUUUAAAAGGAGAAAAUAUUUAGUAUGCAUUGAUUUUAUUAUCCAUGGGUAUUUUUUUUUAACUGCAGCUAAGUUGUUAUUUGUUAAUCUUUACUGUGAUUGGACUGCAACCUGGUGGUGGGCACAUUAUAAAUGAAAUAUUUGUUUCUCCCUUCCUUCUUCCCUCCCUCCCUCCCCCUGCCCUCCCAUUCCCUUCCCCUCCCCUUCCCCUGGCCUUCAACAGCUCUUAGGGCAAUGAACAAAGAAAAAUUAAUAUAGAGAUGAAACAUUUUUAAAAACCCAUGCAAUAAAACAAACAAACAAAAAAGCAGAUAAACAAUGUUAAAAGACUUGACAGGUCUUUCUUUAUCUGGAGUUUGAAAUGGGGUGGUGAUGAGGGUAGUCAUCCAUUAAUAAGGUUGUAGAGCAAGAUCUUGGAAGAUGAUGAUAAAACUUGAAUUGAAAAAUUCAGCAAGAGAUAGCCAUAUAGUUACAUGUCCCAAGCUGCAAAACAUUUUACAGUUUUGUCCAGAACAGAAUAGGGAUCCCAUGCAAUAACGUUUGAUGAAAUAAAAAUAAGAUUGAAAGUUAAACCAAGAUGACAAUGACAUCUAUAGGUUAAUUUUAGGGAGAACAUUAUAAAGUAAAUGUGCAACAUUUAUACUAAGUUCCUUGCUUCUGAUUUUUUUUCUUUCCUCAUAACUUUAGGAAAGUAUUUUUCUUCAAAAUUCCUUUUACUUAUUAUGCUUCAUUUUAUGGCUUUUAUUGGCUAUAGGUUUGCUACUAAGGUUGAUAUAUUGCAAUAUAGUUUUUAUUUGUUAAUUUAAUUUGUUGUACCUCUAUAUGACAGUAAUAUUUUAAAGUGAUUUCUUAGUAACUAAUGUUAAUUUCUUCAUAAGUACUCCUGUAUCUAAUAUUAAUGGGAGUGCAUUUCUUCAGCUUUGGCAUAUUCGGGGCAUUUUGUUCUAUUUGCCAUAGGUCAUGUGAGAUAUGAUAUAUUUUUGUAAUUUUGUCUGAAAUUUUGAUGGAUUUUAUGAAAUGUAACAAUUAAUAUGGAAGAAGAUUCUUUUGAAAAACAAUUUAGCAGCAUGAUGUAAGUAUUUUCAUAUGGGAAUAUUAAUAGGAAAGAAAAAUGGCAUGGAUAUAUAAAAAAUUGAACUAGGUUCCAAGCUAAUUAGAUAUUUGUGAAUAUUGCAAUGGAUAUUAUAAAAGAUAAAGCCCAAUGUUUUGCAAAUAAAAAUAAAAUGCAUAUCGAAAAUUAUUUCUCAGUCUUCUUCCUGGAAUGAUAGAGACAAAAAGCAUAGAUUAGCUUUUACAAAGCCUCAUUAUAAUGGAAAUCAGAAAUUCUUAUAAAAUCAGUAUUCUUUAAAGUCAAUACUCAUAUUUUAUAUAAAGUUUCCAUGCUGGCUCUAGAAUUUUGGGAGUUAAGUCCAUAUGUCUUAAAAUUUUCAAGGUUGGGAAACAUUGGUCUCCAUUGUACACCAUAGCUCUGGAUUAAAAAAUGUUUUUUUAAAAAAUAACAAACAGCAAGGUUUCCAAAAUGUAUGUUUAAAUUAUUCAUCCCAAAAUAUUAUAGAUUUUGAACUGUAAAUUUGUCUGCUGUUGGAGAGGCAUGAAACAUUGGUUUCUAAUCCUGCCUUAUGAAACUCAAGGCAUUUUCAUGCUGUUCAUAGCUAUAACAUAUUGUCCUAGAGAUAGCCAUAAAUGUUAAAAGUGGUUGAAAAUCAAUUGUAAAAUUUCUUUCCAAAGUGAAGAUCCCACAUUUUUAAUUUGACAUUGAACUUUCUGUUUUGGAAAUAAUCACAAAGUGAUAGAUAUAAUUUUAUAUCGUUCUGUUACUUUGAGCCAAUGAUUCCAGAUGUUUGAGGCUGCAACUAUAGUCAUUCUCAAUAAUCCUCACAUCCAGCUGGAGUUGAUUUAGACCAGAGGUAUAAGCAGAGUUUUUGGAACAUUUUUUUUCUCCACAGAAACAUAAUUUGGCAAAUUUAAAAAGCAACAGAACAUGAUUGGUGAAACUCCAGGCUGAAUAUAUUGACUGUAUUUUUUUCAAGGGCACACAGACAACAGUUCUCAAAAUAAAGUGGACUGCUCAGGUUAGAUAAACUAACAAUGAUGAACUGCAAAACUGCCCUGUGCUUUCCCCUUGUCGUUGGACUUCUUGAGUUGAAGACAUUUUAUCAUUUAUUUAUCAUUUGUGGUGCUGCCUCCAGUGCAAAGGAACAUGUAAUUUUUGAUGGCGUCAAAGUUGAACUGGUGUUAGCGUGGGGCUAGGAGUAUGCUCUGAAUAUCAUUUGUCAGUAUUUCUGACAUAAUUUAAUUUCUGCAAGUGCAUGUCCUCCUAUGGUAAUUUAUGCAUUCUGAAAUAAAUCCCAAGUGUUGAAAUCAAACUUGUACCUAAAGUGUAUUGGAAUUUUCAUUGUCUCUAUUGUCCACCAUCUCCCUAAGUCACAAAAUUGGAUAAAAGGUAAUUGUUGUAACAAUAAAACAGUAUUUAUACAUUA